rnacentral:lncRNA from 1 species
UGACCCUUCCUGCUAGGACGGGUAGUGAUAUCUCCCAGAUGUUUGUUCUACUGCAUUAUUGAAACCAUUUAGUGUUAUGCAGUACGAUAUUACCUUAUCCUUGAGUCCCAUUAGUACGAGGACCCUCGGGUGGAUAAUACAGGCGCCACUACCAUCAUCAACCAAGAUUUUUUUUAUAUCCGUAUCUGCGAUACGUAAAGUGAUAGCUAAAGCAUCGUAAUGGGGGAAAGUCAAACCAUUGGCAUCAGAAUUAUCAAAGGUGAUUCUAUCUUCAAAGUCGUCACACUUUUAUAUCUGUAUCUGCGAUACAUAAAGUGAUAGCUAAAGCAUCGUAAUUGGGGAAAUUCAAACCGUUGGCAUCAGACUUGUCAAAGAUGAUACUGUCUUCGAAGUCGUCAUAUUGUUCGUGGGCGAUGGUUCGCUUCAGCUUGUGGUAGUGGUAAAUUUGAUGUGAUUGAUUGCCGAGUCAUUGCCAUCUUCGAUGAUCAUGUUGAUCAUAUGUGUUGGUUAAGGCGUCUUUGGUGGACCGUGGGGUUGCUCCCUUCCACAUACAAAGUUGUUUUUUCCUUUGUCACUAAGUAUCUCUUUCAAGAACCCUUGGUUCAACAUCCUGACCACCUCUUGCCAUAGGCCUAUGCAAUCUUCAGUUUUGUACCCUUGUUUCUGGUGCAACUCGCACAUGGCAUUGGAUUUUCUUGUGACGAGGUCUGACUUCAUCUUUGUCGGCCAUUACACCUUGUUGCCCAGCUUUCAAGUGCAUACUCUAUCUCUGAUGGGAAUACACAAAAGUUAUGGGCAGAUAAUAAGGUGGCAUACCUCUGUUGUUUCGUAAUGGAGUGACUUGUCGUUGUAGAGCGCCCGGGUGCCUGGUGGCGGUGGGUGACAGGAUCUGAUGUUGGGUUGGUGUCUCAGUGCAACUCGUACAUGGCAUUGGAUUUUCUUGUGACGGGGUCUGACUUCAUCUUUGUCGGCCAUUGCACCUUGUUGCCCAGCUUUUCAAGUGCAUACUCUAUCUCUGAUGGGAAUACACAAAAGUUAUUGUCAGAUAAUAAGGUGGCCUACCUCUGUCAUUUCGUAAUGGAGUGACAUGUCGCUGUAGAGCGCCCGGGUGCCUAGUGGCGGUGGGUGACAGGAUCUGAUGUUGGGUUGGUAUCUCUCCCUAUUGGGACGUGGGACUUGUUCCCUUCCCCCUUCGUUACGUUUGACCCCCCUGAUUUCUGGGUGUAUUAUUGAUAAACGUUGGGUCGACUCGUUCAGGUCGUCCUCAUCUGCACGUACCUCAGCACAGUAAGAGUUUUGGAUUUCUUCCCAUGUGGUGGGAGGAUACUUUAUGAGGCGACUUAGUAGUUUUUUGGUUGCCCUUGAGUCGUCCCUGCUUGACCCGUUCUGAAAAGCGACGACUGCCAUGCCUUCCAAUACGUUUGGUAGCCUCAUCCUUACUUUGUUAAACUUGGCUAAGAAGUCCCUGAGUCCUUAUCAUGUGGUUUGCCGAAUAGUGAAGAUGUAAUUGACUCUUGCUUCUGCUUUCUUUGCUCCUGCAUUGGUGGUGACAACUUGUCCUCUAUUUCCUCAAACGUAGAAAUGAUCUUUCCGAAUAGUGAAGAUGUCAUUGACUCUUGCUUCUGCUUUCUUUACUCCUGCAUUGGUGGUGACAACUUGUCCUCUAUUUCCUCAAACGUAAAAAUGAUCUUGGCCGUUAGCUGGGAGUACCAGGUUAGUGCUCCUUCUGUCAGUGUUUCGUCGAACUUCUUCAGCAGCAUGGGCGGUACAUGUUAUUUUGACAGGUCGUUACCUUUUACAGCCAUGACGUAGUGGAUCAGAUGAUCCUCGGGAUCUGUAGUUCCAUCAUACACUCUGAAAUAAGGAGGCAUUUUGAAGGUUUUUGGGAUGGAGUAGUANNNNNNNNNNNNNNNNNNNNNNNNNNNNNNNNNNNNNNNNNNNNNNNNNNNNNNNNNNNNNNNNNNNNNNNNNNNNNNNNNNNNNNNNNNNNNNNNNNNNNNNNNNNNNNNNNNNNNNNNNNNNNNNNNNNNNNNNNNNNNNNNNNNNNNNNNNNNNNNNNNNNNNNNNNNNNNNNNNNNNACGCUCUUCCGAUCUUUUAUCUGGUCACGAAGUUACUUGUUUUCAUUUUCCAUUUCAUCCAUCUUGUUGAGGAUGAUUGUGAGCGUGCCACCGUUGGCCCGAGUAUCGAUGAGCAUAUUUUUAGAUUGUACGCUCUCGGGUUCACCUUCAACUGCAGCAAGGUCUGCUGUUGGCACGCAUCUGAUGUUGUUUUGAGGAGACUAUUUAACCAAGCCACUUGGAAUACUCGUUAACCAUUCUUCCAGUAAUUUCAUGACCUCCGGGGGUUCUUCUUCAGUUGCAGCUGUAGAAGCUCCCUUUUCCCGCAAGAUCAUUAGCUCUUCAGGUGGGGGAGGUGGGAUUUCCCCGCUUGUUGUGGUGCUAUGGGUUGCAAUCAAAACACCCUCUUCACCGGCUUCGUUGAGAGGACCGAUGAGGUUGGUUGCAACAUUUGCUAUCAUUUUCAUUUUUGCGUUGUUGUCAGCCAUCUUUUGUUUGUGUGUUGUAGAGAAGGAUUUUCGAUGGUUCUCUAGGUGCAAGCUUUGGUUUUGAUUCUCGAAAUCCCCAUAGACGGGGCCAAGUUGUUUAGCUCAAAAAUUAUACUCACUUUAUAAGCUUAAAACUAUGGUUUUGAUUCUCAAAAUCCCCAUAGACGGUGCCAAAUUGUUUAGCUCAAAAAUUAUACUCACUUUACAAGCUUAAAAACAAUCAAAAUGUAUAAGGGCAAAUCGUAAUCAAAUGUAAUGAGCCCUAGAGAUGAUUAUUGUGUCAAGAUCGUUGUAGAUCUGGAAGUGUGAAGAAAAUAAACUUAGUUUUAGAGAGAAGCAAUAGUUGGAGACCAAGAACGAGAUAGAGAUAGAGAGAGAAGUCGUAUUAUUCGAGAAUAAUCAUGCCCUGUAUUACAAUGUGAAUGACUUCUUUAUUUAGUAGGAGAUCUUCCUCGAAAUAAUCAAAAAUUACAAAAGUUGGUGGCAUCCACUCAGUAAAGAAGGAAGACCCUAAAUGACGUCGCCUUUACUUUAUCAACUCGGUCGUGCCCUCACUUGGGUCGACCUUAUCAUAAUGGACGUGCCCACUCAACGUAGGAACAUUGAGAUCCAAAUUUUACCCUAUACAAAUCUAAAACACUUUAUUUUGUAUUAAUAGUUUCUAUCACUACAACUCUUUCUUUUUCUCUUUUCCUUUAUUUUCAUAUCUAUUCUUUAUGAAUAAACAAAGACAACAGUUUCAUGAAAUGAAGACUUUUUAUGUCUUACAUUUGAUUUAAAUGCAAAAGUUCCUAAAGCAGUUAAUGGCUACAAGUUGACUCGGAUGAGUUUUUUCUAUUAUUAUUAGGAAUUGUUUAAAUAUUCACGAUGGAGUUCAGUGGUCAAGACUCAGAUUGAAUAUUUACUCUUUAGGAAGUCCGAUAGAGGUAUUUGCGUGGAUUACAAGGUCAUUCCGAGUAAGAAUCUCUCGUUCCUUAAUAGGCUCCUGGACAUGGACCUUGAGAUCACGAGGAAGAGGGCGAUGUAUAGUCAACAUAGGAUAAAGUGGUGAGCCUUGAAGGAAGCUAAAACGCAAGAUCUGGGGGUCAAACUAGUGACUAUGGGGGCUUGGAGGAGUAGUGGGGACAUAAGAGCUAUGUGGACCACGACUAUGCAAUGCACUAGGAAAGCUGCGAGAGAGGUAUUAGGGGUUUCAAGUUGUAUUUUUCAAUAAUGACAUCAUCAAAAAUUAACCUAAAAGACACACAUUCUCUCAACACUUGUCUCGAUCCAGCUAAAUCCGUGUCAGUGAUGUCUAUGUGACUGUGGAUACAAAACCAUGCACAUUAUGGAUCUGAAAAUAAAAGAAAGAAUUAAAUUUUUGUUAAUGUGUUACUUUAAGAAACAAAUUUAUGUUCAUUGGCAGAAAGUGCUGUGCAAAAAAGAGCCCAGACAAGCACGGGGGCUCCAUAACCUAAGCACAUCAACAUUUACAAGGGUUAGAUAUUAAAGAACAAAUAGAUAUAACAUAUCAAUUAAGGAAAAGGCAAUGUAUUAAAGAUCUUACAAUUUGGUGACUCAUUGAUUCAAUUUGGAUAAAAAAACAUGAGUUUAUAUAGGAUACACAUGGAACCCCAUGGUAUCUGUUUUCCUUUAGUAAUUAAGUUGUUACCAACUUUACUAAAUCUGAUUUAGUUCCAACUGUAACAAAAAUAUCAAAAGUCUAUUUGGUGAAAGUAUUAAAAAUUGCAAUUUUGGUAAGAAAAAAAAGUCAUGAAUGAUAAAACUCAGACAAUUAUUUAAAAUGUAUCUUAUCUUGAAUAUGCGGUAUUAUUUAUCAAUAAGGUAAAAAAUCCAUGUAUUUUAUAGGUUUUUAGUUUUUUAGACCAAUUGUCACUUGCUUAGAUAACAGGCCCAGAAUAAGCUAUAUAUAGUGACUUUUAUUUAAUUCCCUUUCGUUUGGGGUUCGAGAAACUUUAUAUUAUGCAUUAUGACUUGGGUGUAGUUGGAUUUGACUUUUGAGAGAUUCGGAGUUGAUUUGGAAGAGUAAUUCUUAAUUCGGAAGUGUAGUUGGUUUUGACUUUUGAGAGGUUCAGAGUUGAUUUGGAAGAAUAAUUCUUAAUUCGGAAGCUCUAAGUUAGAAGAAAUGACCGAGAUUUGGCUUUUGAGUAAAGCACCUCGGAAUCGAGAUUUGAUGGUUUCAAUAGGUUUGUAUGUCGAUUGUGAACUUGGUGGUUUGUUCGGAUUUGAAAUUUGGAUGUUCCUAGAAGGUUUUGGCCCUAUUUGCCUAACAUUUGGCAAUUUGAAUAAUUGGAAAGUUCACAAGUGUGACCGCAAGUUGAUUUGAUGGUAUCAGGUUCGGAUUAUUGUUUCAAAAAUUAGAAUAUUUCAUUUUGUCAAGUGAAAUUUAGCAAGUAUGACCGCAAGUUGAUUUGAUGGUAUCAGGUUCGGAUAAUUGUUUCAAAAAUAAGAAUAGUUCAUUUUGUCAAGUGAAAUUUAAGUACAAAGUUUGGUUGUGAUCCGUAAUGUCGAAGUGUGAUUCAGACAAGUUCGGUGAUGUUUGAGUUUUGGAAAGUUAAGAGAAUGAUCUUGACCUUAGAUAUGUUGUUUUGAUGUUAAUUGCAGUGUAUAAGACUUUGGAUGAGUUUGAAUUAGGUAUAUGGAAUUAUUGGUAUGAUUGGACUAGAUCCCGAGGGGUUCGGGUAUAUUUUGGAUAGAUUUCCAACCAUUUUUGGAAUUGAGGGCACAACUAGUUUUGGUGCAUCGCACCUGCGAGAAUGGUUGCACAGAAGUGCAGUCCGGAUAGAUUUCCAAUCAUUUUUGGAAUUGAGGGCACAACUAGUUCUGGUGCAUCGCACCAGCGAGAAUGGUUGCACAGAAGCGCAGUCGCAUCUACGGUGCAUUGUGCGCAGAAGUGCAUGUUAGUCAAUCUGGGAAUGUGACGGGUGCAGGAAUUUGUGGACGCAUCUGCGAAGGAUGCUUGCUUUGUGAAUCUUGCUUAUAUUCCAUUUGGGGAGAUUCCAUUGGUAUCAGAGGUUGAGGCUUUGGCAAAUCAGUUUGUGAGGUUGGAUAAAUCGGAACCUAGUAUGGUUCUUGCUUGUGUAGUUUCACGGUCUUCUUUGUUCAAGCGCAUCAAGCCAUGUUAUAGUAUGAUGAUCCCUAUGUGCUUAUCCUUAAGGACACAGUGUAGGAGAGUGAUGCUAAAGAGGUUACUAUUGGAGAUGACGGGGUAUUAAUGAUGUAGGGUCGUAUUUGUGUUCCAAAUGCGGAUAGGUUGAGAGAGUUGAUAUUUGGGGCCCACAUUGCCGUUGGCAACGGUCCAGAUCCGUUGGCCAACGGAUAAUUUUGCAAAAAUGGCCAUUUUUGGUUAUUUUUUGUAUUUAUUAUUUGACAAUAUUAACCCUUCUUAAAAUCAAUAAAUACCCUCCCUUUUUUUUCAUUUCUUCACUCAAAAUUAUUAUCUCAAUCUCAAUUCUCAAAUUAUCAAUCUCUCUCUUCCCGUUUACAAUAUUAACCCUUCUUAAAAUCUAUAAAUACCAUCCCUUUUUCUUCAUUUCUUCACUCAAAAUUAUUAUCUCAAUCUCAAUUCUCAAAUUAUCAAUCUAUCUCAUUUUUAAAAUAUGUUUAGUGCUGCUAAAAGAGCGUGUAGAAAAGUUACGAGUAGGGGUGGAAAAAAAAAGGUAGUCCUGUAGCUUCCGGCAGUAAUAGUAAUGACCCAAUAACACAUGAUUCUGAAUCAUCGCCUAAUGAUAAUGUAGAGAUUGAUUAUGAACAAUUACAAGAAGAUUUUUGAAGAGAAGAUAAUGAAAUUGGAAUAGAAGAUGAGAUACCACCUACACCUAGUAGUGGAAAUGUUGGCAGUAUUGGAGUUGGAGUUGCUAGUGCUACAAGGGGUAGUAGACCACCAGUGGUAAAAGAAGAAGUCUGGUAUGGAAACUUUUUGAAAUAAUAGAAGGUACUAAUAGAGUUAAGUGCAAACUUUGUAACGAAACUUUUAAAUAUUUAACCGGAGGAAAUUUAAGGGGGACUGGGACACUUAGUAGAUAUAUGAGAUCACACCAUCCCAUAGAAUGGGGCAAUAAUGGGGAUGGAAGUCAAACAGCUUUUAACCCUACUACUGGAGGUCUAGUAAAAUAUGAUAAAAUGAGGGAUCGUGAGGAAUUAGCAAAAAUGAUUGCUUUGGGUUGUCUACCUUUUUCUGUUGCUUCUUCCUCUUAUCUGAGGAAUUAGUAAAAAUGAUUGCUUUGGGUUGUUUACCUUUUCCAAAUCCUUCUUCAUCGUAUCUUAUUAUGUAUAUUCAAAGGAUUUAUAAUCCUUUAUUUAAAGGUUGAGGAAUUAGCAAAAAUGAUUGCUUUGGGUUGUUUACCUUUUUCUAAUCCUUCUUCAUCGUAUCUUAUUAUGUAUAUUCGAAGGAUUUAUAAUCCUCUAUUUAAAGGUAUCGCUAGAAGUACUUGUAGAGCAGAUAUCUUUAUACUUCAUGGACAAUAUCAAACAUACAUACGUUAUUUGUUUAGUCACAUUCCUUCUAGAGUAUGUCUAACUUAUGAUAUUAGUCAUGCUGUUAAUGGAAAUGAUUAUUUGACAAUUACAUGCUAUUGGAUGGAUGAUAAUACUUGUAUGCAAAAACGUAUUAUCGCUUUUAAAUAUGAUGAAGAUCAGAGUCAUACUGCUACAUUUAUAAGUAGUACAAUUGUUAUGGAUGAUAAUACUUGUAUGCAAAAACGUAUUAUCGCUUUUAAAUAUGAUGAAGAUCAGAUUCAUACUGCUACGUUUAUAAGUAGUACAAUUGUUGAAGUUGUUGAAUUUUAUAAUCUAAAUAAAAAAGUUUUGUAUUUGUCUUUUGGUAAUGCUUCAAACAACAAUGCCGCAGUUUCAAUUUUUAAAUUGCAUUCAUAACCACCUCUUGAUGAUAUUUCUCAUGUUAGGUGUGCAUGUCAUUUUUUAUAAUUUAAUUGUUAAAAGUGACCUUGAUUUAUUUUCAGUUGAGAUUACUCAUGUUAGAANNNNNNNNNNNNNNNNNNNNNNNNNNNNNNNNNNNNNNNNNNNNNNNNNNNNNNNNNNNNNNNNNNNNNNNNNNNNNNNNNNNNNNNNNNNNNNNNNNNNNNNNNNNNNNNNNNNNNNNNNNNNNNNNNNNNNNNNNNNNNNNNNNNNNNNNNNNNNNNNNNNNNNNNNNNNNNNNNNNNNNNNNNNNNNNNNNNNNNNNNNNNNNNNNNNNNNNNNNNNNNNNNNNNNNNNNNNNNNNNNNNNNNNNNNNNNNNNNNNNNNNNNNNNNNNNNNNNNNNNNNNNNNNNNNNNNNNNNAUUGUUAAAUUUGUACAUAAAUUUUAUACUGCUACUGUUGUGUUUUCUAGCGCAUAUUACCCCACUGUUACUAUGGUUUUAGUACAUAUAGCUGAAAUUUCUUUGCUACUAUCUCAAUUUAAUAAGAAAUAAAAAUAUAUGAAUGUUGUUGAAAAAAUACAAGCAAAAUUCAAUAAUUAUGUCUUUCCAAUUCCUCCGAUUUACUUAAUUGGUGCAGUAUUAAAUCCUUUUAUUAUAAUGUCUGAUUGUCCCCAAUUAAUGAAUGCUUUAUAUACUUAUAUGGAGAUUAGAGAAACUGAAACCCCAAAUAUAUAUGAUUCUCUGAACAAGCUAAAUGAAUACUUACAACAACUGUAUAAUUAUUAUGCAAAUGAAUAUGAUAAUAUUGCUCGUGCUUCUGACAAUGUUAAACCCGCUAUGCAAUGUAGCAGUUCUGCUAAUGUGGAUGAUGAAGGCCUUGAUAGUUCAAAUAUUUUUCUACUUUUUCUCACACUCAAACCAGUAGCAGGAAUAUUGAUGAGGUUCAAUUCUACUCGCAGAAGCAAAAGGAUCCUCGUACAAAAGAAUUUUCACCGUUGGGAUGGUGGCAUGAAAAUGAAAAGCAAUUUCCAGUUCUUUUCGCUAUGGCUUGGGACGUCCUGAAUGUGCCAAUUUCCACUGUUGCAUCGGAGAGUGAAUUUAGCUAAGCUAGACAAUAACUUGGAGACGCCCACCACCCAUUGGGAAGCAAUGCUUUUGAAGUUUUAGUAUGUUUCAGAGAUUGGAUUAGAUCGGAACGAANNNNNNNNNNNNNNNNNNNNNNNNNNNNNNNNNNNNNNNNNNNUAUUUCAGAGAUUGGAUUAGAUCGGAACGAAGAAAUCAAGAAAAGGAAGAUGUUGAUAACCCAGAAGACGAGGAACUUGAAGAUAUAUUAACCAAUGGAAACUCAUCCGAAUUUAACUCCCCAAAAGAAGGUCUAUCGAUUCAUAUUGAUUAUGAUGAACUUGCUAGGGUGAUGCAAAACAUUUGAAAUUACUACUUUACUUGUUUACUUGUUAAAAAAAAUAUUUCAUUUUCUACUUUUUCAAUUUGAAAUUAAAAAAUAAAGUAGCACUUGCAAUAAGUAAUUACUACUAUACUAGUUUACUUGUUAAAAAAACAUUUCAUUUUCUACUUUUUCAAUUUUAAAUUAAGAAAUAAAGUAGCACUUGCAAUAAGUACAAUUUUUCCCCAUCUUACUAGUAUUCAUUCAAUUAUUACAAAGUAUUAAUAUAUUUAUAACUUAAUAGUUAUACUACACAUAAUUCCAAAAUUGUUUUUUUUUGAAAAUAUACUAAACCUGGCCCGUCCCCCUUCAACCCGUAAGGUUCAAUUUUAACCCGAACAAACCCAGCCCGCAAUGAACCUGUCACUGUGCAACCCGGCCCGGCCUGUUUCGGACCCGAACCGACCUGGUAGACCCGGUUAACACCCUUGGGUGAAAUUAAAUGUUUCAACCGGACCAGACCGGACCGGUAUAAACCGGGACCGGACCCGUCCGGUUACUAAGGGGCCGGGUGGGCUGGGUUGGGGCGGAAGGGGGUUGGUCAUUUUGGGAUUUCUAGGCUUGGAACCGGCCCGGUUUGACUAAGCACUACCGUGAACCGGUUGGACCGGCCCGGUUCAACGGUAAGAUGUCUUUUUUUUUUAAAAUUUUUGGGGCCCACAUUACCGUUGGCAACGGUCCAAAUCCGUUGGCCAGCGGAUAAUUUUUCAAAAAUGGCCAUUUUUUGGUUAUUUUUUAUUUAUUUAUUAAGUUACAAUAUUAACCGUUCUUAAAAUCUAUAAAUACCCUCCCCUCUUCUUCAUCUCUUCACUCAAAAUUCUUAUCUCAAUCUCAAUUCUCAAAUUAUCAAUCUCUCUCUUCCCUUCANNNNNNNNNNNNNNNNNNNNNNNNNNNNNNNNNNNNNNNNNNNNNNNNNNNNNNNNNNNNNNNNNNNNNNNNUCUCUUCCCUUCAAUUUGCAAGAUUAUAUAUUCUAAUUUUAUAAUUUUAUUUGUCUCUCUUUUCCCGAAUUUAAUUUAUCGCAAUUUGUCAUUCGGAAAAUACAAAACUCAAGCAAAUAACAAUCCUUUGCUUGAGAAAUACAAACUCAAAAACCAACUAAAAAAUCCUUUCCCCUACAUGCCAAUUUUAACCAAAUGGUUAUUUUUGUAAAUGUGACCCCUACUCAAUUUCACAUGAAUUUUGAGGUCGGCCCCGGUAUUGCGGACACAACCUUUCAGCACCUUGGGGACAAAGAUUUAAUGCUGUGAGGGUCAUGACAAAAGUGGCGGUUCAUGCAAUGUUAGCCUUCUGGUGUCUCUUCUGGAAACAUUCGGUUAUUUUUGACAAGAAUUCUCAAUUUCACAUGAAUUUUGAGGUUGGCCCCAGUAUUGCGGGCACAGCCUUUAAGCGCCUUGGGGACAAAGAUUUAAUGCUGUGAGGGUCAUGACAAAAGUGGCAAUUUAUGCAAAGUUAGCCUUCCGGUGUCUCUUUUGGGAACAUUCAACUAUUUCUGACAAGAAUGACUGCAUCUGAGUUAUUUAUGGCGAAAAUUAAUAUUUUGAUUUUUUUUGCUAUUUUUGUAAAGGGGAGGUUGGACCCGAUGAGGGUUGCCUACGUAUCUCACGCCCUGUGAGAAUCAAACCAUGCGUAGUUUGGCAAAUGAAACGAACUAUUUUAAAGCAAGGCUCUUUUUGAUUUUCACUUUUGGUAUUUCAUAAGCAAAUAACAAAACUACUUUCAAAAGCACGACUCUUUUCAUUUUUGGCAUUUCACAAAUAAAUAAGUUUUCACUUUUGGCAUUUCAUAAGCAAAUAACAAAACUACUUUCAAAAGUACGACUCUUUUCAUUUUUGGCAUUUCACAAAUAAAUAAAAUAAAUAAAUUAUUUAAAAAUAAGGAUCUUUUUUAAUUUUCAUUUUCUUUUCAACAAACAAUAAAACAUCCUAUUUUUCCGAAACUAAUAUAAAGACUCUUUUUUUUUAAACAAACAACUUUCAGAAAAUAAAAGACUCUUUUUAUAUUUACCUUUGCUUUUUUAGUAAAACAAACUAUAAAACCUUUUCCUUCUUCAUUUUUUCAAAAUUUUGGCAAAGUUUCGACAUUAUUUGUGCGUUGGUAUUUCAAAAACUAAGCAAUUAACUCUAUACAACGCUACUUCUCUCUUUUCUCUUUUUCUCAAUAUUUCUAUAUUCAGAUAUUCAGAGGCCGGUAAGAUGCAAGUCCGAAUACAUAACUGCGCAGAACAAGUAGGAUGCAUCAGGAUGGUCUUUUCAUUUCUGGUUGCUACUCCUAGACGGACCCAACCCUGUGUUGAGUCACCUAAGUUAAAUGCAACAUGAUGCAAAUAAGCGUUCCUACUAGGGAUCCGGCAUGAAGUCACAUUAGUCUAGGGCAGGAUUUAUAGGAAAGAGCUAAUGGAUUCAUGACGGGGAAGAUGAGAGGAAUUUAUGGUGUUAUUUAGUAGUGAAUUGGCUGUGGUGCCAUUCACCGGUGGUAGGGUUCUGGCGAGGUUCAAAGAACCUGUACGAGGAAGAGGGUUACAGCCUCUAAAUUUGUACAAGAUCCCCGACCAUUUUAUUUAAUUGACCAAAUUGAUCCUUAGCCGCUGGAUUAGGAUAAUUGGACGACUGUGAUCAAACAAAACGGGGCGAUGUCGUUUUGAUGGAGGACUUGGACCGGGCAAGGUGCUUUUUGGGCCGGGGCUGUGACAAACUAAAAUUGGGCCCGAAAAGACUAGACACAGAUGGCCCGAAAUGCAUUAACCCAUUCCUUUUAUUAAAAACCCUUUUGCUUUCUCUUUUUCCUUUAUUUCUUUUGUUUUCCACGUUAUAAGUUGUAUUUUUUUUUCCUUUUUUAUACUUUUAUAACGAUAAAAAUAAAACUUAAAAAAUGAAAAUAAAUUCCGAACAUUAAACUAACUAAUCUCCUUACAAUUAUCUAAAACUAUUUGAUAAAAAUAAAACUUAAAAAAAUGAAAAUAAAUUCCGAACAUUAAGCUAACUAAUCUCCCUACAAUUAUCUAAAACUAUUUUGUAAAACAAUUUCAAUCAAACCACAAAAUGAACUAUUUUUGUUAUUUCUUCAUAUUUCUUUCAAAAUAAAUUAACUCCUAAUUAAUACUAAAAUACGAAUUUAAUUCCUUAACAAAUGCCAAGUAUUUUUGUAUUUUUCAUAUGAAUUAACUUGCGUGAAUAAAAUGCAACCAAUUAACACAAAAUUCAUGAAGAUGUAAAAUAAGAAAAAAUCUUUUUGUUUGGAAUUUUUAAGAAUAAUUCAUAUGUAGGACAAAAAUUACAUGAUCACAUGAUGAAAAUUCCGCAGGUGCGAUGGAAAGUCCGCAAAUGUGGAAUAUCUGGGAAGGAAAGGGUUAAGUGCGAGGGUUUGAUUUCUUUCUCAAUUUUGGAUCUAGAGAGCACAGAUUAAGGCGAAAUUUCGAGUUUGAUUUCAUCAUCUAAUUUAGGAAUUUGGUUGAGAAAUUUAGGGAAAAAUGGUAAAAGUUCUUCAACUAUGAUUUUUGUUUUUGGUUGGGGUUUUUACAUUGCAUUUGGAUGAUUUUUGUACGAGUGGACUCGUGAGUGAAUGGGUGUUCAUAUUUUGUGACUUUUACUCGAUUCCUAGACGUGGGCCCGAGGAGGCAUUGUAGGGCAAUUUUUGAAUUUCUUAUUUAAGCGUUGAUUUCAUUAAUUAGAUUAGUAUAUAAUAGUUGUAUUUAUUAUACGUAAUUACUAUUGGCUAGAUUUGGGUCAUUCAGAGCCAGAUAUUCGUGGGAAAGGCAUUGUGACUAACUGAUUGAGCUUGGUUCAAGGUAAGUGGCUUGCCUAACCUUGUGUGAGGGAACUCCCCUUAUGAUCUAGUACUGUUUGAAAUAUGAGCGUUGUGUACGUGAGGUCGAGUGUGUACAUGAGCUCUUUAUUGAAAAACUCCAUUUUCAUUAAGUAAAAUAUCUGUUGUGCUUUAACUAAGCUACCUAGCGUAUGUAAUUAUCCUAAUAAGUUUAGAAAAGCAUGUCUAUGUGUCUUAUUACUUCUCUGAACUCUAUGUAGCAUGCUUAGUUAUAAAAUUCCUUUUUCUUCGUUGAGUUGCACUUAGUAUAAAUCGUAGAAUUUCCGUGUUUUAGUUUUAGUUCUAUUGUUUGAGUUGCAUAUUCACUUUGGGACUAUAAAAUAGAAUUGUGGGAGAUCCCCAUGUGCUGCAUAUUAACUUUGGGACUACAAUGGUAUUCUGGGAGACCUCCCUGUACUGCAGUUACUUUGGGACUACGAAACGGUAUUCAGAGACACCCCCUUGAGGACUAUAAUGGUAUUCUGGGAGAUCUCCCUGUACUGUAGUUACUUUGGGAUUACGAAAUAGUAUUCUGAGAGACUCCCUUGCAUAUUUAUGUUUGGGACUACGAAACGGUAUCUCAGAAGAUCCCCUGUUAUUACCUCACUGUACUUAGCUGUUACCUUUCUAUGGUUUCAUUCUCGUUAGACUUCAAGCCUUUAUUUUACUACGAUAUUUUAUCUUUUCUUAUUUUUAUUAUAUAUAUACUAGUAUGAGCCUGGCCUGACCUCGUCACUACUCGACCGAGGUUAGGUUUGGUACUUAUUAGGUAUCGUUGUGGUGUAUAUACUAGUAUGAGCCUGACCUGACCUCGUCACUACUCGACCGAUGUUAGGUUUGGUACUUAUUAGGUAUCAUUAUGGUAUACUCAUGCCCUUCCCCGCAUAUGUUUUUUCGUGUGCAGAUUCAGGUACUGCCUAUCAGUCGCAUUAUCAGUGAGUCGAGACAGCUUUAGAGAAUUUAAGGUAUAUGUGCCACGUCCGUAGACCUCAGAGUCCUUUUCUAUUAUUCCCCAUGUCAAACACUUCUUGUAUUUCCUUUGUUAAACUCUGAGUAUAGAGAUACUAUUUUCUUUCUGUAGUUUGUGACUUACAAUGUUCCGGAUUUUUAGAGAGUUUAUAUACAUUACGAGAGUUGACUAUAUGCUGAGCGAUAUCUCAAAUGUGUUAUUUAUGUUAUCUGUUACUAUUAGUUGUUAUUAGAUUUUUAGAGAGUUUGUAUACAUUUCGAGAGUUUACUAUAUGCCGAGCGAUAUCUCAAAUGUGUUAUUUAAGUUAUAUGUUACUAUUAGUUGUUAUCCUUUAUGUUUUUACUUCAUUUUUCCUAAAUUUUAUUCUUACCUAGUUGUAGAGAUUAGUGCCGUCACGGCAAUUAGCAGAGGAAGAAUUUGCAUCAUGACAUACUCUAAAUCAGGUAAGCCAAACGGGCUAUAGGCCAUAUAAGAACAAGAAACAAAAUUCUUUCUCUGCCAUGCUUUAUAGGAUGAAGCGACAGAGAUUGCAAUUAAAAUACAAAAUAAACACAAAAAUAUAAUAUAAAUUUCUUAUGCUUGUUGAUAACAUGUGUUCGAAGCUUGAAAAUUAUUGAAGAAAAAAAAAUUCAAUAAAUAAAAUGAAAUUUUAUGCUUACCUAGUUGUAGAGAUUAAUGCCGUCACGACAAUUAGCAGAGGAAGAAUUUGCAUCGUGACAUACUCUAAAUCAGGUAAGCCAAACGGGCUAUAGGCCAUAUAAGAACCAGAAACAAAAUUCUUUCUCUGCCAUGCUUUAUAAGAUGAAGCGACAGAGAUUGCAAUUAAAAUAUAAAAUAAACACAAAAAUAUAAUAUAAAUUUCUUAAGCUUGUUGAUAACAUGUGUUCGAAGCUUGAAAAUUAAAGAAGAAAAAAACAUUCAAUAAAUAAAAUUAAAAAUAAUUUGAGCCCAGAAGUUACUUCUGUGUCCUUAAGGAAAUUAAUAUCCUUGAUGUUGCCGAAUGUUUUAGCAAGAUCUAAGCGAUAAGCUCGACCCAAAAGACAUUAAAACGGGAUUGAUCCCAAGCCAUUUGUAUGAAUGACCGCCCUCCAAACCAACAUUUUCAUCUUCACUGUGCAGCAGCCACUAAAAUGUCUCGUUAUCUAAGUAAGAUAGUUCGUAUGAGAUUUAAAUAAGCCAUCCAAUUGUUACGCAUCAUUAUCAUUUCAAUAGGUAAAAGCAAAAGAUGAAAAAAAGAAAAAAAGGAAAUAAUCAGAAUAUGUGAUUCCCUAGCAAACGCCAAAGAUAAGAGUCCAGUAACUUAACACUCCAAAAAAUAAUUUUGUGGACUUUAUUGAUACGACGAGUUAAGUUCAACAACAACAACAACUCAGUAUAAUCCCACUAAGUGGGGUUUGGGGAGGGUAGUGUGUAUGCAGACUUUAGUCCUACCCUAGGGUAGAGAGGCUGUUUCCAAAUAGAAACCCAGCAUCCUUCCCUCCAGGAAUUUCCCACCCUUGCUCUUGGGGAGACUCAAACACACAACCUCUCGGUUGGAAGUAGGGGUUGCUUACCAUCAAAGUAACCCCUCUUGUCUAACCACGAGUAAAGUUCAAUUGUCACAAAAUUAACCCGAUGGACUUGAUGAAACUGAUGAUGAGUGACUACAAAGUGGAGAUGAUUAAUGAAAUACAAGAUGCGAGGGUAGUUAGUGUUAUAGCUUCUGUAUCAUUUUGUUGGUAGAAUAUAAAUCUUGCAUUUCAUCGUUGAUUAUAUAUCUCGACCUUUUAGUCACACGCAUCAUCAGUUUCAUCAAGUCCAUAAGAUAAAUUUUACUAGUGUUUGCUGAUCAAAGUUCACGAGACUUCAUCGUAAUUGACAUCCUCCUUCUCAUUAUUGUUGUGAGUUCUCUUCAUCUAACAACCACUUAAAUUGUGUUGAGGAUGAAUGAUUGGUAAAGAUUGAGCAAUUUAUAUAGGAGGGAGCCGUCAAGGGUUUUUUAAUUUCUUUCUUUUUCUUAUAAUUAUUAAAAUGAAAAAGUAUAGUAAGUUGUUAAUUAAGGUAAGAUAAUUGGCAUAUUGUUGAACUUAGGAAAAAAAUUUGUAAGUUGUUAGGAGAUUUAGAAAAAUCAAUGUGAGUGAAUGGGUGUUCAUAUUUUGUGAAGAGAUAGAGAUAGAGAGAGAAGUUGCAUUAUUCGAGAAUAAUUAUGCCCCCUAUUACAAUGAAGGUGUCCUUUAUAUAGUAGGAGACCUUCUCCGAAAUAAUUAAAAAGUACACAAGUUAGUUGCUUCCACUCAGUAAAUAAGCAAGACCCUACACAACGCCGCCUUUACUUUAUCAACUGGGUCGUACCCUCACUUGGGUCGACCUUAUCAUAAUGGACGUGGCCACUCGGUCUGGGAACAUUGAGAGCAAAAUUUUACCCUAUUAGUCCCUCCAUAUUUUGGAGAUGUGCUUGAUGAUCGUCUACAAUGGACAGACAUGCAUACUUCGUUUUUAUGGAAUUUGCCGCACCCAUCCUCUUUCAAAAGACAUAAGCGUGUGUAAUAUUGUUGAGUCGUUGACAUACAACCCCUUUCCUAGAAUGACGUCCCUGGUCAUGUGCGUCAUCAUUAUACUUAUUCCCAAAACGAUUCAGAUCGUAUUGUUGAGUCGUUGCCAUAACCCCUUUCCUAGAAUGAUGUCACUGGUCAUGUGUGUCAUCAUUAUACUUAUUCCCAAAACGAUUCAGAUCAUGACAUGAUGUUUUGAUUUCCUGCGUCAGUUUUUGAACUGUGCCUUUUCGAUUUCCAUGUACCUUAUCCCUAUAAAUAGAGGAGUGGUUCAACGGGAUUCAUCUUUCGAACCUUUGGAGAGUAUCCCUUUAUUUUUUUUCUUCAUCUUUCUUUCUAGUAAUUGUUGCUUCGUUUGAGAACUACCAUUUAUGGGGAUUGUACCUCUUGUUGUUGACACCGUUCCUCAUAAAUUAUACCAUGGUGAAGUAUCGUCAAGACAAAAAAAUGACCAAGGAUAUGGCCCCUUCUAGGGCUCAGAAUUCCUCCGAUUUUUCAUGUACCUUAUCCCUAUAAAUAGAGGAGUGGUUCAACGGGAUUCAUCUUUCGAACCUUUAGAGAGUAACCCUUUAUUUUUUUUCUUCAUCUUUCUUUCUAGUAAUUGUUGCUUCGUUUGAGAACUACCAUUUAUGGGGAUUGUACCUCUUGUUGUUGACACCGUUCCUCAUAAAUUAUACCAUGGUGAAGUAUCGUCAAGACAAAAAAAUGACCAAGGAUAUGGCCCCUUUUUGACAUCGUUCCUCAUAAAUUAUACCAUGGCGAAGUAUUGUCAAGGCAAAAAAUGACCAAGGAUAUGGCCCCUUCUAGGGCUCCGCCUUCCUCCGAUGGUGAGGGGAAGAAGUGAAGAAAAUCCUCAUUCCCCUAACGUUGGAUAAUAUUCUUCCGAAAAACUUGAGUGUUCGAACUAACUUCAACUCGACGUACCCCUCAUUUCCUUGGGUGAAAAGUGAGUUAUUGCAGUGUCACUUAGAGAUAGCGCCCUUUUGACCUCACAACAUGGAGCCGUGCCGGAGGUGGCAUCUUAGGCGGUGCCUGAGGUGUUACAUGAGGUUGUACCAGUGACAACACCUGAGGCCGUGCCUGUGAUAGCGCCUGAGGCCACUACAACGGAGGUGACUUCUGAAGGCGAAGAGCCGCCAGAUAGAAAGAGGCGUCGAAUGAUUACCAGCAAGGGAAUUGGGACUAAGAGCGUGAGGCCUAGUAAGCCCCGUCGAGAGCCGAGGCUAGUUUCUAUGGUUGAGGCCAUCCGUUCAGGGAGAUUGGCCCCUGGGGGAACAACUGGCGUUGUCCAAUUAGCCCGUGCCCCAAAAGGCAGGUCGUAUUCUGCAGUUAGGGGAGCGGACCUGGAAAUUGAAAGGACGACCUCUGAGGCCGCUCUUGGAGAAGCAACAAGGGACUCAGCCCGCGCGGAGAUGAGGGCGGGCAAGUCUACACGUCGAUUUGUAAUCCUUGGCGGGUAUAAUUUGUUAGAAGACAGCGAGCAAGACGCAACAGAUAUGACUUUUUUAUAUGCGGCUGCCGAACAUGAAAUGCUGAAAAGCAUAAGUAAUAGGCAUUUGUCGAGGUGGAUCGUCGGUGCGACUUUGGAGGUAGCUUUUUGUUUUCUUUUAUGAGUUGUAAAAGCGAAUUUGUCAUGUACUGACGUGUUUACUCUCUUCUUCCCUCAUCUUGGAGGUGUAGAGGAGGUGGCGUGAAUAAAAGAAGGCAGCCACCUUCAAUAAAAUGGCAAUGAAAUACAUGGAGUGCCGUGUCAAGCUCUAGGCGCUGGCAGAUAUACUUAAGCAAGAUCCCCAGUUUCGGAUAUUCCGUGAGGGUCUUGAGGAAUCAAACGCUCUUUGAAGAAGAGGGUGGCCGAGCUAGAGGAAGUUGACAAGCAGUUGAUGGCUGCUUUGGCUUGAAACAUCAAGCUAGAGACUCUCCUUCAAUCCAAAGAGGAGGAACUGGAGAUAAGCCGUGGGGUAGCGGCGAAACUGCUGAGAACCAGCUUUGAUUUAUGCCGGAACGUUCGACUACAAAAGCCAUCCACCUUGUUAGGAUAUUGGUGGAGAAGUAUAAGGAGAGAAAGAAGGACUUGCAUAUGGUGUUCAUCGACUUAGAAAAGGUGUAUGAUAAAGUUUAGAGGGAGGUUUUUUGGAGAUUUUCGGAGGCUAGAGAUGUACGUGUUGCCUACGUUAGGUUGAUUGAAGAGAUGUAUGAUGGAGUAAAGACCUGAGUGAGGAUGGUGGGUAGGGAUCAAACCAUUUUUCGAUUAUAAUGGGGUUGUAUCAGGGGUCGGCACUCAGCCCUUUUUUGUUUGUUCUGGUGAUGGACGUGCUGGCGCACCACAUACAAGGACAGGUAUCGAGGUGUAUGCUAUUUGUAGAUGAUAUUAUAUUGAUCGACAAGGUGCGAGACGGUGUGAACGCGCAAUUAGAGAUAUAGAGGCAGAAUCUGGAAUCUAAAGGUUUCAAGUUGAGUUGGACCAAGACAUAAUACUUGGAGUGUGAUAUCACUGACAAGACUCAAGGAGGAAAAUGAGAGGUGAGACUGGACUCGCAAGUCAUCCCUAGGAGAAAGAGUUUUAAGUACCUUGGAUCUAUUAUUCAUGGGGAUGUAGAAAUUGAGGACUCGCAAGUCAUCCCUAGGAGAAAGAUUUUUAAGUACCUUGGAUCUAUUAUUUAUGGGGAUGGAGAAAUUGAUGAAAAUCUCACAUAUCAUAUUGGGGCGGGAUGGAGGAAAUGUAGACUUGUUUCUGGUGUUCUUUGUGACAAGAAGGUGUCACCCCAACAAUGUUGUAUUGGGUUGAGUUGGCCCGUCAAGAUCGCCCAUGUCCAGAAGAUGAAUGUAGCAGAGAUGAGGAUGUUGACAUGGAUGUAUAGGCAAACCAGGUUAGAUAUGAUUAGAAAUAAGGUUAUUCAUGAUAAGGUGGGUGUGGCUCCUAUUAAGAACAAGAUGCGGAAAGCGCAUAGUAUGUGUAAAAUCUGUGUAUACACUAUCUUCUUGAAAUCCCAUAAUGUGGGAUAACACUGAGUAUGUUGUUAUUUUUGUUGUUGCUGUCAUUUAAAUAUUUAUGUUAGACUUUAUAAUAAGGUCAUCAGAGGGGUUCAAUUCUAAAAUGACUUUUUCUGCUUGUUACCUUAUGAAACAGAGAAAAAGUUGAACUCACGAAAUGUCCCAGGAUUACAGAUUAAGGGAUUCAAUUCUAAAAUGACUUUUUCUGCUUGUUACCUUAUGAAACAGAGAAAAAGUUGAACUCACGAAAUAUCCCCGAAUUACAGAUUAUAUGUUGAUCAUCAUUAUUUUUCCCCUUUAUUAGAAGAGCUUCUCUAUAUAUUUGAGAUGAGGUAAAUUACUUUCUCGUUAGAAGUGUGAAACUUGAAGUAGAAAUGUUACGGAUAAGUUUUGUCACUGAAUAUGUUUUAUUAUACGUAGAGGAGGAGGGAAAGAGAAAAUGACAUUACAAGCUGGAAUCAAACCCUCACCAAUAAUGUAAUGAUAUUAAAUAUGACAUUUAAUUUAUUUGUGAACAUUAAUACUCAUAUCGUUAAAUGUUCUGAUACUUGCAUAGACUCGGAAGAUUACCGGAUUUUAGAGUUUGACUAGUGAAUGGUAAGAUAUAAUUGACAACUCUCUUGAUUAUCUAAUUAAUUCAAGAUUUUAAUAAGAAAUAAAAUUAGAAGGAAACUGUCACAAAUCAAAACUAUAGGGUUGUGAUCAGCUCUCAGUGCUGCUUCCGUAUGACCAUAGCAGAUUUAGCUGGGGAUUUGUAGGUUCAAUUGAUCCCAAGAUUUGACUUUUGAGUAAAGCACCUCGGAAUCGAGAUUUGAUGGUUUUAACAGGUUUGUAUGUCGAUUGUGGACUUGGUCGUAUGUUCGGAUUAGAAAUUUGGAUGUUCCUAGAAGGUUUUGGCCCUAUUUGCCAAACAUUUGGCAAUUUGAAUAAUUGGAAAGUUCACAAGUAUCACCGCAAGUUGAUUUGAUGGUAUUGUUGAAAAAUAAAAUUAAAAUUAACUUGAUUUUGUAUUAAUUAUUUGGCUUAAGAAAUUAUGAAAAAUAAAGAGACCAAUUAGCCUAUUUUCUAGAAUGUGAGCCCUUUGGCCCAUGUUCUAGAAAUGUGCUCUAGAAAUAUCUUUAGAAUAGUAGACUGAUAUAGGUAAGUAUGGAGUGAUCUAGAGAGUGGAUAUUUUUGUAGAAUUGUGUAGAAUGUGAUUUGUAGCCAUUAGACUAAAGUUGUGUUGGAUAAAUCUUGGCCAUUGAUUGAGGAAGUGGCCAAGUAUAAAUAGGUGUAGGAUUGUUCAUUUUAUAUUAAGCCAAAAAAAAAAAAAUCAAAAACAAGUUUGAGUAAUAAAAGUUUCUUUUGGCCAAGUAUAAAUAGGUGUAGGAUUGCUCAUUUUGUAUGAAGCAAAAAAAAUCAAAAACAAGUUUGAGUAAUAAAAGUUUCUCUUCUCCAAAAUCUUUCUACUCUUCAAAAAUUCCCUUAGCCUAAAAGCCUCCCUCCAAAUAUUAAUAGCAAUCCUCUUCCAACAAAGUGGAAUCAGAGCCACAAGAUUCUAACCAAAAAUUUCUAAAAUCAUGGCAAAUAGUGUUGCAUCCUUCCAAGUUCCUAUGCUCAACAAGAGCAACUAUGAUAAUUGGAGUAUCAAGAUGAAGGCUCUCCUAGGUGCACAUGAUGUUUGGGAUAUUGUAGAUAAAGGCUACAGUGAGCCCCGAGAUGAAUCUACAUUAUCCCAAACUCAAAAGGAUGGUUUGAAGGAUUCAAGAAAUAGAGACAAGAAAGCUCUCUACCUCAUCUACCAAGCAUUGGAUGAUGAUGGGUUCGAGAAGAUCUCAAGUGCAACCACUGCUAAUGAAGCGUGGGAGAAACUCCAAACGUCCUACAAAGGUGCCGAGCAAGAAAAGAAGGUACGCCUCCAAACAUUAAGAGGAUAAUUUGAGUCUCUACAUAUGAAAGAAGGGGAGUCCAUUUCCGACUAUUUUCAAAGAGUUUGGUGGUUUCAAAUUAAAUGAAAAGAAAUGGUUAAAAAUUGGAAGAUGUUAGACUUAUUGAGAAGAUACUCCGGUCAUUAACUUCCAAAUUCGAGCAUAUUAUCAUAACAAUUGAAGAAACCAAAAAUUUGGAGGAGAUGUCAAUUGAUCAAUUAAUGGGAUCCUUACAAGCAUAUGAAGAAAAGCAUAAGAAAAAACAAGAUAUAGUGGAGCAAUUAUUCAUCCUUACAAGCAUAUGAAGAAAAGCAUAAGAAAAAACAAGAUAUAGUGGAGAAAUUAUUCAAGAUGCAAAUAAAAGAUAAGGAAGAAAGUAUCAGAAAUGGAUGAGGUCAAUAUGGAAGAGGUCGUGGUCAUGGACGAGGUCGAGGCCAUGGACGUGGACGAGGAGGUUUCAACAACAAGAAAGAAAGAAGAGAAUACCCAAGUCGUGGGAGAGGCAACCAAGGUGCAAGGUAGGAUAAAUCUCAAAUCAAAUGUUAUUCAUAUAAAAACUAUGGACACUAUGCUUCACAAUGUAGAUGGUCUCAAACCAAAGUCGAAGAGACCACCAACCUUGUGGAGUAUAUGGGCCAAAAACACGUGACCCUACUUCUAACAUACAAAGGAGAAGAAGGGAGACAAGACAACACUUGGUACCUUGACACCGGGGCGAGCAACCAUAUGUGUGGAAAGAGGAGCAUGUUCGUGGAGCUCGACGAAUCGGUGAGUGGUAAUGUUUCUUUUGGUGAUGAAUCCAAAAUACCAGUGGAAGGCAAAGGUAACAUCCUAAUCCGCUUGAAGAAUGGAAAUCACCAAUUUAUCUCAAAUGUCUACUGUGUGCCCAACAUGAAAA